rnacentral:lncRNA from 1 species
CUGGACGACCUCUAGGAGUCCAUCGUCUAUAUGAAAUCGGCUCCCCACGGUCUCUAUCGACUCGUCCACCAUGGUCCCUAUCUUAUGUGGUAUGUGUAAACUGGGAUUCACCGAUGAAUCAAAUAUCAUCCUGCGGCUAUCUCAUAAGCAGUGGUCUCCUGUCCUCCAGUUUCUUCCUGAUCAUCAGAUCCAUGACUACUAGUAUCAUCAUCAUUCUUUCUGAUCUCCGAAUCUGAGCCAGAUAGCUCCUGUACU